AUACUUACCUGGCAGGGGAGACACCAUGAUCAAGAAGGCGGUUCACCCAGGGCGAGGCUUGUCCAUUGCACUCCGGCCAUGCUGACCCCUGGGAAUUCCCCAAAUGCGGGAAUCUCGACUGCAUAAUUUAUGGUAGUGGGGGACUGCGUUCGCGCUCUCCCCUG
rnacentral:snRNA from 1 species